GAAUCCCCUAACCUUGCGAGUCCCAACUCUCUCACCCGAUCUUCUCAUUCAAACAACAAACGCAGCAGCUACUCCCCUCUCUUUCAAACAUCACCUUCCUCCCCAUCGCCUUCGGCCUUCACCCACCGCCGAUCACUUCACCGGCGACCAUUCCCCUCUCUUCCCUCUUCUUCUUCUCCUCUUCUUCUCCUUCCCCUUCGAGCUCAUCAUCCUCUCCGCGCGCCUCUGUUUUUCUUCUUCUUCCUCAACCACCACCAUCGCCGAACCAUCCUCCUCCUCCUUCUUCUUCUUCUUCUUCUUCUUCUUCUUCUUCUUCGAACCAGAACCACACCGAGCUCUCUCUCUCUCUCUCUCUCCCUCUCUCCUUCCCUCUUUCUUCCCCUCCUUCCCUGUUCGCCGCCGGCCACCCAGCGCCGUCGCGACUUCCUUCUUCUUUUUCUUCCUCCCACUCUGCCAUGUCUCUGUCUCAAACUUUCUGAAACAGAACACGCUUAACAGCCCCUAUUUCCCCAGUUUCCGGCGACCUUCCCAACUUCCGGGCGACCAACGUCCGCCGUCUCUAGCUUUGGCAACAACACAGUGCCAUUGCAAUCCUCCCCCAUUCUCUGUUCUCUCUGAUUUUGGAUCAUCAUUCAAGGCUGCUGCUCUCAACGACCAUCGUGCCAUGACGGAGAAGGCGGCGCCUCCACCGUCGAAGCCGCUAACACCUCAGGAAUGGGAAACCCUAAUCGAGGACUUCCAAUUCAGUGGCGGAGAAAGAAGGCAGAACAAGUGGAGCUCUCUCCCUUCGCUCUUGGAUCUCCUCCUCAACUCGGUCCUCCGCAAGGACUUCCCUCUCUCCGUCAAGUUCCAGCUCCUUGUAUUCCUCGACGAGUUCUCUGAUUCAUUCUUUACUCCUGAUGACGACCACGCACACCAACUGGGCCGUGUAAUUGACGCGCUCCGCACUGUCGUCCAAUCCCCGAUCGACGGCAUUUACAUAACCACCUCGUUCAGAGAACAGUUCAUGAUCUCUGUUACCUCGAUCGUUGUUUGUGUCACUGAGAAGAAGCUUCAAUUACACGUUCAACAAAUUGAAAGUUUGGUUGAGCUGUUGUUAACGGUCAUCAACCGGCCGAAUUUCGGGUCGGAUCGUCAAACCCGAUCCAUCGCAUGCGAGUGCUUGCGCGAAUUGGAGCGUUCCAACCCGUGCCUUCUCUCCGACAUCGUUGGCCACUUGUGGAGCUUGUGCCAGAACGAACGAACACAUGCUUCACAAGGUUAUAUCUUGCUAUUAACCAUGGCUAUUCAUAACAUUGUUGUUAAGCAAUUGCAUGUUUCUGUUGUGAAUUCUUCCAUUCCUAUGGUCCCAUUCAAUGUGCCACAAUGUGUGUUGAGUGAUUCCGGGGUGGCUUAUGGUGGUAAUUUGAACCUGAAGGAGUUGAGGAAGGCUUUGGCGUUUUUGCUUGAGUGGCCACAGAUUUUGACACCUUGUGGGAUGAUGGAGUUCAUGGCGAUGGUGAUUCCUGUGGCUGCCGCAUUGGAAAUGCAACCUUCAAUGUUGAAGGUGCAGUUUUUCGGGUUGAUUUAUUCCUAUAACCCUGUUCUGUGCCAUGUUAUUUUGAUGAUGUAUUUGCGUUUCUUGGAUGCUUUUGCUGGCCAAGAAUGGGAGCUUUCACAAAGGCUCUUGUUGAUUUCAAGAGAAUCACAGCAUUACUUGGUUUUUCGGCUGCUGGCUGUGCAGUGGUUUUUGGGUUUCAAUCAGCUUAUUUUUAGUAGAAGUUGUCAGAAGACCAAGUCUAUGAUCAAGGCUUGCUCAAGUUUUUACCCUGCUUUAUUUGAUCCACUGGCUUUGAAGGCCUUGAAGCUCGACCUUCUUGUGUUUUGCUCGGUGUGUGUUGAGGUACUCAGAAUGAAAGAAGACGGGGAUGCUGAGUUAGUUGAUUCAGUGAAGCUGCUUGAAGAUGGUCUCAUAUGUGUAUCAUCUUUCAAAUGGUUGCCUCCCGGUAGCACUGAAAUUGCCAUUGCGUUCCGUAUUUUCCAUAAGUUUCUAAUUGGUGCAUCAACUCAUUCAAAUAAUGAUCCGUCUACCACAAGAAAUCUGUUGGAGUCUAUGAUAUUUCAUACCAUAGAGGGGAUGCUCGUGAACAUGAUGUUGGAGAGUCGGAGAGUGGUUCCUGUUGUUGUGGCAUUUGUUGACCGUUUACUCUCUUGUAAGAAACAUUCUUGGUUGGCUGAGCGCUUACUUCAGAAAUUUGAUGAGCACUUGCUUCCAAAAGUGAAAAUGGAUUAUAAGUUGGUUUACUGCUUCCCUAUAUUUGAUAGAAUUGCUGAAAAUCAAACAAUACCUCCAUGUGGAUUGUUAGAUCUUCUCGCAAACUUCAUCAUUUUCCUUGUGGAGAGACAUGGCCCAAAUACUGGGUUGAAAUCUUGGUCACAGGGAAGCAGAGUUCUUGGAAUUUGUCAAACUAUGAUGAUGCACCACCAUAGUUCUAGAUUGUUCCUUAGACUAUCUCAUCUGCUUGCUUUUACUUGCCUCCAUUUUCCUGAUUUGGAAGUUCGUGAUAGUUCAAGGAUCUAUUUGCGUAUGCUAGUCUGCAUUCCCGGGAAGAAGCUCAGAGACAUCCUGACCCUUGGGAACACGAUCCAUGGAAUUUCACCAUCUUCACACCCAUCCUCCUUUUUCAACGUUCAGUCUCCUCGAUCUACUCAGAAACUCAAGACAAUUAAAAACUUAUCCACAUGCAUUCAUCUUGAUCGUGUCACCCCGUUGCUUGUUAAACAAUUUUGGUCUCUAUCAUUAUCAAAUUUAGUUGUAAAUAACAGCAAACCUGUGUAUCUUGAGAGCAUCACGGACCUUGAAACCCCUGUCGAGGACAAGGAAUGUUCCGAGAACUCCAGUACAGAGAUCACUCAUGAAACCAGAAAACUGGAUCAACCACAAGCGCCGCUCCGUGUGAUGGAUUCUAAAGUUGCAGAAAUUUUGAAUAUAUUAAGGAAGCACUUUUCCUCUAUUCCUGACUUCAGAUAUAUGCCAGGACUCAAAGUUAGAAUAUCAUGUAGAUUAAGAUUCGAGUCUAAUACUUUCAAUCGCUUAUUGGGAAUUGAUAGCACCACCACAUCCUUGGAUGAUAUGGAUGCACUUCCUGCUAUAUAUGCUACUGUGCUGAAUUUCUCCUCUUCUGCACCGUAUGGACCAAUUCCAUCAUGCCACAUACCAUUCCUUCUUGGUGAACCUCACAGCAAUGAUGAUUCAUCUCAAAAUGCAUCCUUAAGUAUUGUUCCUGUUGGGAGUGAUUUCAGAGAAGAAAAAUAUAGAACUACAGUUAUCAUCGAAUUGGAGCCUAGGGAACCAACACCAGGUAUCGUUGAUGUUCACAUUGAAACGAAUGCAGAAAAUGGUCAAAUCAUCCAAGGUCCACUUCAGGGAAUCACAGUAGGCAUAGAAGAUAUGUUUCUAAAGGCUAUUGUCCCAUCCGACAUCCCAGAAGCCGUGAUACCUCGAUACAACUUUGACUUGUUCACUGCUUUGUGGGAGGCAUGUGGCUCAUCCUCCAACACUGGCAGGGAAACUUUUCAAUUAAAAGGCCGCAAUGGGAUUGCUGCCAUCAGUGGAACUCAAUCUGUCAAGCUUCUCGAUGUUCCUGCAACCUCCUUGAUCCGUGCAACCGAGCACCAUCUGGCACCCUUUGUCAUAGGUGUGAGGGGGGAGCCACUGAUUGAAGCUCUAUGGGAAAGGAGAAUCAUCCAGGACAUCAUAUGGGAGGAUGAUUCCCGUGAUGCUACAUCAGUCGCUAAUCUUGAGGCAGGUCCACUUCGCCUUACUUACAAUGAUCAAGAGUAUGAGAAGGGAGUUACUAGCAAUGGCAGAAGAAGAUACUUGGGCUGUUUUCUUGUGCUGAUAUUUCUUCCACCAAGGUUCCAUCUUCUUUUCCAAAUGGAAGUUGGUGAUGUUUCAACUUUAGUUCGUAUCCGUACAGAUCACUGGCCUAGCUUAGCCUACAUCGAUGAUUAUUUAGAAGCUUUAUAUCUCUCAUAAAAGACGUCUCUCUGCCAAAGGGUCACACUUGCAUUUUGUUGAACCCCUUUCUGUAUUUUCGAUGUGGAGGAGGGAGUAAACCACCAAAAUGUCCCCUAAUUAUUAAUUCUCUUUUACCUUCAAGCUGGCGUUUGGUAACCAAAAUGUUUAAACAUUUCCGUGAACACUAAGAGUAAAUUACUUCUUUGAUCAGUGGAAGCUUAAUUAAUUUUUGGUGUGAGGAAUGCUGCCAAGGAAUGAUCAUGGCCAGAAUUUCCAUUCAUGAUUUCAUAGAGAUAGAGUUUCAACAUCAGCAAAAUCUUCAUGACCACAAGCAGAGGCAGAAAGCAAAAGGAAACAGAGAGGAUAAAAAAGGAAACAAGAAACAAUGAAAUGAGGAUUCAGAAAGCAACAACACCAAACACUUUGAUGUGUAUAAAUGGAUGAUAGAGACAGCCACAGUAUAGUUCUCAAUUUCCAAACGCAAACGCCAAACCUUCGCUUCUUCCUUUCCCAAACACGACACUUUGUUCUUCAGCAUUGAAAGGAAAAAAUGGUAGCUGAUGGCAAGUCCAAACCUGCGAUCUCCUUCGCUGGAACCUUCACCAGCAGUGCUUUCUCUGCAUGCUUUGCUGAGGUGUGCACUAUUCCCUUGGACACUGCCAAAGUUAGGCUUCAGCUUCAAAAACAAGCUUUGGGUGCCAAUGCAGUCACGAGUCACGACGCCUAAAUAUAAGGGUAUGAUGGGAACCGUUGCGACCAUUGCUAGGGAAGAAGGUCUUGCAGCACUCUGAAGGGCAUUGUGCCGGGGAUACAUCGUCAAUGCUUGUAUGGAGGUUUAAGAAUUGGGUUGUAUGAUCCUGUUAAGACUUUAUAUGUCGGAAAGGAUCAUGUCAGAGAUGUUCGAUUGCG